UUUUUUUUUUUUUUUUUGUCAAUUGUACAAUCUAAAUUUAUCAUGUAUAAAUAUUUAAUUGACUUUUUUAAUAUUUUGUACAUAUAAUUUGAUUUCUUGACUUAUUGAUUUUCAUGACAAUAAUGUAAAAACAAAAAAGUUUAACCUUCAAUAACAAUAAUUUUGAUUACAGUUGCAUUAACAUGGAUGGUCUAAUUAGGAAUGUUACAAACUAUUCACAAAAUAUAACAAAUUAUGUACUCGGGUAGAGUUUACAAAAGUUUCAGUUAAGCAAAACAUUAAAAAAUGCCUAAUAGCUAAGUUUCAAAAUAAGCAUAACAAAAGGGUCAUGCGAAAUAGAAAGUCAAAUAGAGUUACAUUUAGUGAUAAUUAUGAUUGCAUUCCAAAGAAAAAAAUGAGUUUAUUUUUUAUCAAGAGAGUUACAUCUGUACAUGCAAUGUAAUAUUUAAACUUCUUUUAUCAAGAGAAUUUAAAUAAAAAUGAGUUUAUUUUUAAAAAAUAUUUUUUUUCUUAAGUGAAUCCAAAUUUAAAUAAGUCACAAGUCUUCUAGUUAGAGUGUCCAAAGAAAAAAAGAAUAAAAAAUGUAUAUUUAAAUCAUAUUUUAUAUGGUAGACAUAACAUAUUCUUAAAUUUUAAAAUUAUGUAUAAUCUUGUGUUUUAAAAUUUAAUUAUGUGUCAAAUAUAUUCAAUUUUUUAAGCUUUUACUAUUUAUUUUCUUAAAGUUUUACUGUGGAAGGGGUUUAUAUUUUUUCCAUACAAAAAAUGAUAAAUACAUAGAUGAAAAGAAAAGUUCUAAGAGAAAUUUUCAAAAAUAGCAAAUUUGACAAAAUAUUUACAAGUUAUAGCAAAUUCUAUCAUUGAUAGUCAUUAAUAUGUUAUAGUGAUAGAAUCCAAAAUUUUGCUAUAUAUUCUAAUUUAUUUUGCUAUUUUUAAAAAUGUCUGAAGUUCCAAUGUGUUCAUUUAUUUUUAUUUAUUGAACCAAAAUGUACCAUUUUCUAUUUUUUAUUUGAGUAAUAAAUAAAUUCUUUUUUAAUAAGAAAUUAUACUAACUAUUUUGACUAAAAAAAUCUUAUUUAAUACAUAAAAUUAUAAACAAAUUUUGAAUCUUUUUUAGUCAAACCAACUCAAAUUAUUUCAAUAUCUAAUUUAAUUGACUUGUAAUACAAAAAUGAUAGUAAUAAUUUUAAAUUGGAAGUGAAAUUACUAGUUUAAAUUUUAGAACUAAAAUUAAAAAAAAAAAAAAAAAACUCUCAAUUUCAAUAUCCAAGGCCACACAAACUUCUUAUAAAAUCAAACAAACUCAACUUUACAUUCCAAAUUCCAAACACAGACAAUUAUUGUUACCAACAAUCAACUUCACUCUCCACGAUCCCAAAUACAAACAAUAACAAUUAUCAACUUAAUUAACCCCACGACAUUGCACCCAAGAUUUAUGGUAGUGCAAUUAAGUAGGGAUAGCUUUUAUUUUACUAUCACCUUAUAUAGAUGGACCAUAAAUGGGAGUACACCAGUCCACACAUAAUAUAUUCAUUAUUCGGCCAAUAAGAGUUGCUUAAAGAAAACGAGCUCCUUGAGAUGCUCAGAUAGUUGCUCGUAGACAAUAGCCAUAUAGUUUCCGGGUAGACAAUUAUCGGAUUCAUCCUUAGCCGUCAAGGUAAAACGGUAGUUGACUCCAUUCACAAUUUGCGACUCACACUUCAAUAUACUAAUAAACCUCAAGUGCGUCCCUUCUUUUUUGUUGUGCUCUGCUACUGCCCAUUCUGCUAAUUCUUUCAUGCGUGGACUUUGAGGAUCCUUAACUGGAGUAUAGCCCCCAGGCUCUGAAGAAGCCAUCUUAGAUCUUUUAUUCACUUGUAAUAUUGACAAACUUAUUACAAUAUGGAUGCUUUUAACACGUAUAUGUUUUGAAACUUUGGUAUUUAUAAUAACUCCAGUUUAUUCGUAUUCCAACUACUCCUUCCUUUCAAAUAAUACAUAUUUGGACAGUAGACAAUAAAUAAUAAUAAUAAAAUAAAAAACCCUCUUUCAUGUGCUUUUAAUUAAAUGGACAAUGUAAAUUCAACAGAAUUAUUAACAAAUGAAACUUGGGUUACUAGUCAAUUAAAAAAAGAAAUAUUUUAUUUUAUUUGGAUCAAUUUGAGUUAAUUAAGAAAUGAAAACGCGAGUCAAGGUCUGUAAAAUUUUAUAUUUAUUGUAUCAUAACGUAGACUUAUAAAUUGAUUUAAAAAGGUAUAUAUAAAAUAAAACUAAAUUAUAAAAUAAAAAAUAAUCUUCCAACUUUGUGAUUUGUGAGUACCUGACUUUCAAAAUUUUCAAAAACAUAUUUAACUUUUGAAAAUGGUUCAAAAAACUCAUACGUAAAUGAUGAUUGUAAUCUCACUCCUUUUAUUUGUGGAGGAUAAUGAUGAGUAUAUCUCGAACCUCAAGAAUGCUAUUUUCCUCUUUGAAGCUGCAUCGGGACUAAGCAUAAAUUUAAUCAAAUCUACCAUAUCCCCCAUAAAUGAAAUGUGGAUUCUUGCAGAACUGAAGCUGUGGCAAAAUUUUAGGGGAUUUAAAACUAGUUCCUACCCAUAAAUUAUCUCGGAGUUCCUCUUGGAGGUAAACCAUCAUCAGCCAUUUUCUGGAAAAAUAUCUCUAAGAAGAUCCAUAAAAAAUUGAGCAGUUGGAAGUAUUUUCAUACCUAUCUAAGGGUGGAAAAUUAACUCUUAUUCAUUCAACUCUUUCCAGCUUACCAACAUAUCAAUUGUCUGUCUUCAAAGCUCCUAUUGGCAUCUGCAAAUCUAUCGAAAAGUCAUGGCGUAACUUCCUCUGGAAAAAUCAUGGUGAUGAUAAAAUUACACAUCUUCUGAGAUGGAACAAAAUCACCAUCACCAAAGAAAAUGGAGGCUUGGGUAUUUACAAAGUUGCAGACACUAAUUUCUCUCUUCUAUGUAAAUGGCUUUGGAGAUUCCAUGUUGAACAUAAUUCCUUGUGGAAGAGAAUUAUCCUUGCAAAAUAUUCUCAAUCUUUCAUCGAGGAGAUUCUGACUCUUGCAUAAUAUAGCUCAAAGAAAGCUCCUUGGACAAACAUUAUCAAAGGGGUGGACUGGUUUAAUUCACAGAUCAAAUGAGAUUAAUAAUGGAGAAAAUCUCUCUUUUUGGAAAGGCAUCUGGAGUAGUCUUAGCCCAAGAUUAUUCGCUCUAUCCACAAUACAAAAUGGAUCUGUGAAGGAUGCUUGGAAUUCUAUCUCUGCGAACUGAAAUUUUCAUCCGAGAAGACCUUUGCGUAGCUUGGAAAUUCAACAAUGGAGGGAGAUUAAAAGUGUGCUGACGACCCCUAUUGAAAAUAGAGGUCAAGAUCUUCCAUUAUGGAAUCUGAGUACAAAUGGGUUUUUUUCAGUUCCAUUGGUUAGAAAAGCUAUUCUAAGUUUUGAUCAAGAAAAUUUAACAAAUAUAAAUGCUGAUGUUUUCAAAAAUCUGUGAAAAUGUAAAAUCCCAAACAAGUGUAGAUUCUUCAUCUGAUCUCUUAUUCACAGGUGCAUAAGCACAACUGAGGUUCUUCAAAGGAAAAUUCUCACUCUUCAUCAAAAUCCAAACUGGUAUUAUUUAUGUCGUCAAAGCAAUGAAGACAUUGAUCAUAUUUUCAUAAAUUGUUGUGCUGUCAAAUUUCUAUGGGCUAAAAUUGAGGAUCUUCUUCAAUAGCCAAACCAGCUUCUAAAUGUUUCUUCUCUAUGCGCCGAUCUUUGCUCUAUUACGCAGAGAAAACAAAAAGUAUCAUAACAUUCAAUACCAUUUCAGCUGCUCUUUGGUUCGUUCGGCUGGAAAGAAACAAUCCUAUUUUCAAAGGGAAAGACAAACUACAAACUUUAUGAUACAAUUUUGAUAAUUAAGACUAAAAUAAAGAGUCAUAAUAAAGCUGACAUGAUAAUUAUAAAUAACCAAAAUAAUACCAUAACGUUGUUGACCUUUAAAAUUUUAGUUUAAAGAAGGGAGAGUUUUAUUCUAAAGUCUACCAUACGCAUGAGCUUUACUCUUAUCCCAAUUAUUAGUAUUAAAUAAUUAACUAAUUAUUAUAAAUGCAUUCACAUUCCUCUCAUCCACAAUAAUAAUAUUUGUAACACAAUAAUAUUGUUUUUUUUUUUUAUUUCCUCCUAUAGUUUUCUACUAAUUCUUUUUAUUUUUCUAAAAAGAUGUAACUUAUUAUACACCAACAAGUGGACCGUUUAACCCAUAGAAGACAAAGAUUUAUGGCCAAAAAUUUUUUAAAUCAAUAUAGAGAAUUCAAAAACUUACUCUCGGAUAUAAAUAAUCAAAUUAAAUUUAGAAAAAUCUUGGUAAUUAACUUUGAAAAAAGUUAUUUAUAUAAAGUCGACAAAUAAUAAAUGGUUAGAUUGUUCAAACAUAGUAUGGAAAGAGGCCGGCCACAUUACUUUUAUUUAUUUAGUAACCAUUAACUAGUUUGAUUAUCUUAAUAAACAAUAUUUAUGUGUAUGCUCAUGUUCACAUGGAUGUCUAUGUGAACAUGUAAUUUGUGUGGGUGUGUGUGGAACAUGUAAAUAGAUAUAGUUUUAACAUUUUAAUAAAUAAUAUUUUUUAUGAAUAAUAUUUGUGUGGCAUUCAUACGCACAUGGAUGUCUGUAUGAACAUGUAAACAGAUCUCUUAUGACAAUCUUACAUUUUGUGAAUGUUCAACGAUCAUCGUUGAUGUAGAGUUGUUGAGUAAUAUAAAUAAUAAUAUUAUUUUUAAUAAAAAGAUACGUUAGAUCAAUAGAUGCACCAGAUAGUUUCACUAGGUAAAUAUCCCUUAGUUCCAUCAUCAUUUUCACUUCAUUACAAUAAAGAUCUGUAAAUGUAAUAGUUGUAAGUAGAACACUAUCUACAUUUGUUAAGAGUUGAAAAGAAGCAAUGCAUUAUCUCCAAAAACAAACAAAAAAGAGGUAGGUAGAAAAUUGCUCAAAAGUUAUAUUCUAUUAGAAAACAAAUAUAAACAAGACAUGUGUUAUAAAUUGAUAUAUUAAUUAAGAAUUUAAAAAGCAUUUCUUUGAAAAGGUCAGAGAAAGGACUAAAAAAUGUGAAUAAAUAAGAAUAAUAUCUAAGAUCAAUAAUUAAAAUGAAAUGGUUAAUCAUAUGAGAAAUCUUCGGAAAAAAAUAGCUAUUUUAAUAUAGGAAUGAUUAUUAUAUUAAAUGGAGAAUAACAACGAUUGAAAAUUUUCAUCGAUUAAUGAUAUCACUUUUGAUUUUGGAGCUUGAUGAAGAUGCUAUAACAGAACUGUUAACCUAGUUGAGAUAUAUUGUACAUCCUUAAUCUCUUCUUUCGGUAUACUUUAAAAAAAGUUAUUUAAAAGUAAAUUCAAAUUCAGAUCACAAUCCCCAUGUAAUUCAGUUUCGUUAGGAAAAAUAACAUUUUAGGAAAGUGUUUAUUUAUUUUUUGUGUUAAUGUUUUCUUUCAAAAGUUAGAUGACUAAUUAUAUAUAUAUAUGAAAAAGAGUGAAAAAAACAUUUUAUUCAAAUAAUUACCUUGGGAAGGCAUUUUGGAGGAGUUAAUCCUUCCAUGGAUAUAAAUAUUGGUCGAAAUAUAUUCUUCAAUAUAUAUUUCAAAAUCGAGAGAUUUGAGAUCGAUAUUACAUAUCUAUGGAUAUCUUUGACAUAUUUUAUUAAUACGAGUGUAGAACAUGAAAAGGUCAACUAUUUAGUUAAAUAUAAAUAAGAAUUAAUAUUAAUAAAAAUAUUUGUUACAUAGUUUUGGAAUAAAAGACAUAUUUAUCAAUCUUAAGUAAAUUUUAUAAUUGAUAUUUUAAUCCUGGAUCAAUUUAUCAAAAGUUGUCAUAAAACGAAUAAAAGAAUCUUCUUUUCUAAUGUUUCGUCUCGGUUUUAACCUCUUUUUUACUAUCCAAUUGAUAUACAUAUUUUUUAGGUCACAAAAAAAUGCAUCUAAUAUUUAUAACUCAACCUUGCACUCCACACAAACAUUUUAUAGAAUCAAAUCCAACCCAUCUCUACACUCCAAACACAAUUUCACUCACACCUCCAUCUUACUCCAAAUACAGACAAUAAUUAUCAACUUAACUAAUCCAAUAGCUUUGCACCAGGUAAUGCAAUUAAUCAAGGAUAACUUUUAUUUUAUUAUCCAUUAUAUGAAUGGACCAUAAGGCAAAGGGGAGUAGGCAACACAUACAUAUAUAAUGCAUAAAAUCAGGCAAAUUAAAAGUAGGAGUUUUAUUAUAUAUUCAUUAUUCGGCCAAGAAGAGUUUCUUAAAGUAAACGAGCUCCUUGAGAUGCUUCCAUUGUUGCUCCAAGACAACAGCCAUGUAUGCAGCUUCAUAAUCGUUUUCAUCCUUAGCCGUCAAAGUGAAGCGGUGGUUGACUCCAUUCACAAUUUGCACCUCACACUUCCAUAUACGAAUGAACUUCAAGUGCGUCCCUUCGUUUUUGUUGUGCUCUGCUACUAUCCAUUCUGCUAAUUCUUUCAUGCGUUGACUUUGAGGAUCCUCAACUGGACUAUAGACGUUGGACACUGGAUCAGAAGCCAUUUUAGACCUUUUACUUACUUGUAAUAUUGACAAACUUAUUACUAUAUGGAAUGCUUUUAAUAGAUAUAUAUGUUUUGAAAGUUUGGUAUUUAUACUACUCCCAUUUAUUCAUAUUCCAACUACUCCUUCCUUUCAAAUAGUACAUAUUUAGACAAUAGACAAUAUAGAAAGAAAAAAAAACCCUCUUUCCUGUGCUUUUAAUUAAU
rnacentral:lncRNA from 1 species